rnacentral:rRNA from 1 species
UACAGAGGUCCCAAGCGUUGUUCGGAUUCACUGGGCGUAAAGGGUGCGUAGGUGGUUAGGUAAGUCCGAUGUGAAAUCUCCAGGCUCAACCUGGAAAUGGCAUUGGAUACUAUUUAGCUUGAGGAGUGGAGGGGGGACUGGAAUUCUCGGUGUAGCAGUGAAAUGCGUAGAUAUCGAGAGGAACACCAGUGGCGAAGGCGAGUCCCUGGACACUUCCUGACACUGAGGCACGAAAGCUAGGGAGCAAACAGG